GCCGAGGUGGCGAAAUUGGCAGACGCACCAGCUUUAGGAGCUGGCGCCGCAAGGCGUGUGGGUUCAAAUCCCACCCUCGGCA
rnacentral:tRNA from 1 species